UCGCGUUGCAAGAGCUUCAUCCACAGUGCUUGGGAGGAGGGUCUGUCUAGUCCACACAUCAUUCCAGGAUGGGGGUAAAACAUGCUCUGGUUUAUUG